CACACCCCCUACCUCCCUGCCUACAUUCCACCCAGCCUGACUGCUCUGGAAGGAAGAAUCCCUGCAAGGUGAGUGUUAUUAUAUCCAUUUGUGGACCAGGACUGCGGCUCAGAAGCUUUUCCCAGGACACUGAACUCUGACAGGUGAAUAGCUGCCAAGUGGUGGAGGUUGGCCUGCAGUGAGCAUCAGUCUGACUUCGAAGGACAGAAUGACACAUGGUACAAGCUUUCUGUCUUACUGCCACACGUCAGUGUCCUGGGAGAUGAACCAGAUGCAGAUGAUAAAAGUGCUGGCCAGGCGUGGUGGCUCAUGCCUGUAAUCCCAGCACUUUGGGAGGCCGAGGCGGGUGGAUUACCUGAGAUCAGGAGUUCAAGACCAGCCUGGCUAACAUGGCGAAACCCCGUCUCUGCUAAAAAUACAAAAAUUAGCUGGGUGUAGUGGCAUGCACCUGUAAUCCGAGCUAUCCAGGAGACUGAGACAGGAGAAUCGCUUGAACCUGGAGGCAGUAAGCCAAGAUCGCACCAUUGCAUUCCAGCCUAGGCGACAGAGCAAGACUCUGUCUCAAAAAAAAAAAAAAAAAAAAGUGCUCUGACGUUAUAUUAUGGUGUUGGUCGCACAACUUUGUGAAUAUAUGAGAAGUCAUGGAAUUGUAUACUUUCAAUGAAUAAAUUAUAAGGCAUACAAGUUAUAUCUCAAUAAAGCUGUUUGCUAAAUUUGGACGUCACUUUUUUUUUAAACAGCUUUGUUGAGGUAUAACUCUGGUGUUAUACGUUUAGUAUUUGUUUGUUCACCUCUAUCAUAAGCUAUAUAAGCUAUAUGUCUCUUAGGACUGGGAUCAUUUUUAUCAAUUGUUACACCUCCACUUCCUUGUAUAGUACUUUUUGCCCGAAUGUUAAUUUAAAAAUGUUUGUUGAAUGAUACAUUUUAGGCUAAAUGAAUACAGUUUGCAUCAGCAUUAGGGUAGACAUGUCACAUGUAGUCCACUAACCCUCCCCAAGUCUUUUAUGUGAGUUGUUGUUAAGCCAGGGCAAUUCUAUCCUGUACUUGGGCAGAAAUUUCUUGAAAAAAAUCAAAGUUAAGAGUUUACAUUUAUUUUAAAAUUUUUAUCAUGUUAGAACCCAUCAGUCAUUUUAGCCAGUUAAGUGUUUUUUUUUUUUUUUUUUUUUUUUGAGAUGGAGUCUUGCUGUUUUGCCCAGGCUGGAGUGCAGUAGUGCGAUCUUGGCUCACUGCAACAUCUGCCUCCCAGGUUCAAGUGGUUCUCCUGCCUUAGCCUCCCCAGUAGCUGGGGUGACAGGUAUGCACCAUGUUGCCCAAGUUUUUGCAUUAUUUAGUAGAGAUGGGGUUUCACCACAUUGCCCAGGCUGGUCUUGAACUCUUGACGUCAAGUGAUCUGCCCGCCUCGGCCUCCAAAGGUGCUGGGAUUACAGGCAUGAGCCACUGCGCCCAGCCAAGAUUUUCUUGGAUUUUUUUCUCUGUCAUUAAGUGUAGUCUCUAUUUCUACCUGCUUUGUACUACAAACCAAUUUAAAUAAGCAUGCUGUCUUUCUCCAUAAAAACAUUAAACUGUAGAACAAUGUUUUUAUGGAGAAAAAGAGCUAAAGUCACAUGCUGGUGGAGCAUAAAACGCUCACUUGAAGAACACCUUGGUAAUGGCUCCAGCUAACUGUACCAUGACCUAAUCCUGUGGCUGGAACCUCUGGGGAGUCUUAUCCACCUCCCCAAAUCCAUUUGACAAGCUCAGGUCCAAUACCACUUCUUUCAUGGGCUAUUCUCUGAUCUUCUCAGAAUGUCUAUCUUCUAUUGAAUUUGCCACAAUAUUUUGUUUGUACUACUCUUGAGACAUCCCACACAACCUUGAAUUAUAAUUGCUCACAUGGGUGUCUCAGCAUUUAUUCUAGACCAUAAGAUACUUAAAAGGAGGAAUUGUGAUUUCUUUGACAGUUUUGUCUCUUAGAAUUUAAGGGUGAGGGUGCUUAAUAAGUAUUAGAAAUAACGGAUAAGUAAAAUAUUCAGUGCUAUUAAAAAUACUAUUAAAUCUCAACACCUCCAGGGGUUACAUAUCUGAAAAAAGAUAUCAUACAUAUCUAUAUAAAUUCUAAAAUAAAUUGAAAUAGUCCAUAUCAAAAACCCUGCUGGAGUAGGUAACUCUUCACAAUCGACUUCAAUUAUUCAUGAUAUAAUUUUUGCAGGCACAUCAAAAAUUGUAUGUUUAGAGGUUAGAGGAUGAAUCCUCUUACAGUUUUCAAACCAGUCUGUACUAGCUUGAAAUGUAAUGUUUCUUGCACUUGAAUUUUCCCUGCUUUGUGUCUGCCAGUCUUGGCCCAAUGCUUGGGUACUUUUUUUAUGUUAUUGUGGUGCUUACAGGUGUUUUUCCAGCUGUGUUUUUCUAUCCUGAGGUUACAUCGGAGUAUGACAUGAUCAAACCUCUUCUUUGCACCAUGUCACAGAACCACCUUAAUGGAAGAGUGGACAAUAACUAUUGUGGUUUUCUCCUAUUUCAGGUGAUGGAAUGGAACCAUGUGUGUACAAAAAGAUACAGGAAUGUACAUAUUCAGUUUGCAAUAUAAAAACAUACACUGUGAUUGGAGAGGGAUUACAACAUUCUAAUUGCAAUUUUUGUCAUUUAUUCAAUAAAUAUUUCCUGGCUGGGUAUGAUGGCUCAAAGUGCCUGUAAUCCCAGCACUUUGGGAGGCCAAAGCAGGCAAAUCACCUGAGGUCAGGAGUUUGAGACCAGCCUGGCCACCAUGGUGAAACCCCAUCUCUACUAAAAAUACACAAAUUAGCUGGGUGUGGUGGUGCAUGCCUGUAAUCUCAGCUACCUGGGAGGCUGAGGCAGGAGAAUUGCUUGAACUCGGGAGGCGGAGGUUGCAGUGAGCUGAGAUUGCACCACUGCACCCCAGCCUGGGCAACAGAGUGAGACUCUGUCUCAAAACAAACAAACAAACAAACAAACAAAUUCCUGAGUGCCUACCAUAUGCUGAUUAAACUGUUCUAGAUGUUGGAGAUGCAGCUAUGGACAAGACAAAUACAGUCUCUUCUCUCCAGGAAUUUACCUUCUAAUGGAGGAGAGAGACAAAAACAACUUUGUACAUAAACCUUUUCUGAUAGUCAUUAAGAAAAUAAAGCAACAUGGUGUCCAAAUUCUAGAUUGCUCAUUUUAAAGGCUAGGGUGCCUAAAACCACAAGGAACAUUUCAGAAUUAGUAACAUUCAUACUUCGUAGAGCUAUACUUAGGCUAAUAAAUGUUUGGUAUUGUUGCCUCCCCAACAGCCACCUCAGACCACCUCCUGACUCCAAGUUUCCCUGCUCAUCAAUCCAAAAUUUUGUUGAAUAUACUACUUCCCCACCCCCAAUGGAGCUUAAGGGUUAACCUGAACUCUCUAAACCAAUCAGGGCAUUCCUACUGUCUUUGAUCGUGAGUGUUGUAGGCAGAGACAUAUAACCCAAUCCUUGCUAAUGAGACUUGAGGUAGGACCCCAGCUUCCGGAGAGGUUGCCUGGCUCCUAAAAAGAGAAAGAUACCGGAAAAGAGAUGGACUCUUCUACCACUGGAAAUCAGAUGGUGUCCUGAGUGACAUAAGUGUACUUACAACAGCCAUUUUGCAACCAUAAAGAAGCCAGUGGGAAUACACAGGCUACGUGUCCUCGAAGGCACAGAAGAAAGAAGAGAGAAAACUAUAUUCUUGAUGACACAGUUGAGCUACAGAAUUGUCCAACCCCGGAGGUGCCCCACUUCGCGUUGUGGGAGAUAAUGCAUUUUCCUUGCUGUUUAAACCACUUUGAGCUGAGUUUUCUAUUACCAGCAGCCUAAAGCAUUUUGACAGAUAAAAGUAGAUACAAAUGCACAUAUAUAAUGAGCAUCCUGACUGAACGAUUAAAUGUGUAUGUAGGCAUGCAUUACCUCCCCACUCCAUUUAUGAUUGUCACAUUUAUUUUUACUUCAGGGAAAAGCAACUAUAGAAUUUAAAAAAUCAGGAUUGAAAACAAAUACCUGAAUUUCCUACAAUUAAAAAAUCAAUCCAUUAAGUAGUGGUAUUAUGCUAAAAUAAAAUGAAUGCUUAGAAAUUUGUUAAGUGUUUAUGAUGUAAUAAGACAUCAAAUAAACCAUUUUUCUUUAAGUUCUUUAAUAAAAAAAAUCUGAUGUGGAGUCCAGUCUUUCAUUUUUAUCACUGGAAUAAAUAGAGAAUAGUCAUUGCAAUCAAUUGCCUGUUUGUUUCCCCAGAG
rnacentral:lncRNA from 1 species